rnacentral:rRNA from 1 species
GAUGAACGCUGGCGGCGUGCCUAGUACAUGCAAGUCGAGCGAACGGACGAGAAGCUUGCUUCUCUGAUGUUAGCGGCGGACGGGUGAGUAACACGUGGAUAACCUACCUAUAAGACUGGGAUAACUUCGGGAAACCGGAGCUAAUACCGGAUAAUAUUAUGAACCGCAUGGUUCAAAAGUGAAAGACGGUCUUGCUGUCACUUAUAGAUGGAUCCGCGCUGCAUUAGCUAGUUGGUAAGGUAACGGCUUACCAAGGCAACGAUGCAUAGCCGACCUGAGAGGGUGAUCGGCCACACUGGAACUGAGACACGGUCCAGACUCCUACGGGAGGCAGCAGUAGGGAAUCUUCCGCAAUGGGCGAAAGCCUGACGGAGCAACGCCGCGUGAGUGAUGAAGGUCUUCGGAUCGUAAAACUCUGUUAUUAGGGAAGAACAUAUGUGUAAGUAACUGUGCACAUCUUGACGGUACCUAAUCAGAAAGCCACGGCUAACUACGUG